GCAUAGAAUGCAGAAUAUUUACUCACAACUUUCUGCUGGAGUAUUUUCUUGUGGCAAAAGGAAUAUUGUUGUUGGGUCAGAUAGCACUAAUGGCUGCAACUUUUUGCUACAGAAUAUUCCUGAUGAGCAGUUAGUAAGUAACAAGAAGGGGGUUGGUCCGUCUGUUGUGCUUACUUCGGCACACACGGCCAUGAAUAUGCCAGCGGCAUGUUGCUGGUCCAUGCCUGCAUUCCAGGGACAGAGGAGUUUUGCAUUUGAAAGGGAGGGCCAGCCGAUGGAUGAUGUAAGGAAGAUUGAACGCAGUUUGCAUAUUGGGGCGGGGCAAGUAAAAUUGCCCAUCCCACCGGAGAAGAAACUGAUGCCUCCGGGGAAAGAUGAGGAUUCUACUUUGAAGGCUAUGAAGAGGGCUUCUCGUCGCAAUCUUGAUGGCGAUUUGAGUGGAUUCAAGCCGGCUGGUCAAGCGCUACGCACGGUGUCCACUUCAUCUCUUCCGAUUGGGCCGUUUCAGUCAGGUUAUCCAUUUGGCGUCACAGAAGCUAUCAAGUUGGGCCAUCCUUCAGCGAGAGGAGCUGCGACCGUUGGUUGUGGAGGGUUCGCGACUCUUGGUGCGAACGGCCACGGUCUUUUUUUCCCGGGUGCAUGGGUGGCGAUCUAGUCUUCGGAUUGACUGUCGCUAGACUGGGAAAAUUGCUGCGUUUAUGUUUGUUUGUUUUUUUUAGUUUGGCUAUGUGCAUUAGGCAGAGGCCGGAAGUUUGUGUACCAAGACUAUGUAUCCUCUUGAUGUAUCGCUCUUGGU
rnacentral:misc_RNA from 1 species